rnacentral:tRNA from 1 species
UAGUAUAAAGGAUUAAGUAAAAUAUUCUUAAUCCUAUGUAUAAGUAUAAAAUAU